GUCCAUUCAUAGCAUUUCACAUUAUUAUGUUCGCAUUAAGCUAGUGGACAUCCGUUUUUACAGUGGAACCCUGCUUAUUCACAGUUUAAAAAAAUUGUGAUACCAGAAUUUUUGAUUUUGUUAAUUAUGGCAGUUAUAAGCGAGCGUCAAUUAUUUGCGGAUUUUCGCCAUUCGCAGUUGUAUCGUACGUAUCCCCCCAUGAUAAACACGGGUUCGCUGAUCCAUAGUGAUUAGCAGUGAUGGAUGCUAGGACGACCCCUAGAUGGCAGUAAUCCCUAAGGUAUGUUCUUCCAUUCCUGUUGUAAGGGAAUGGAAGAAAAGUAUGCUCAAUACAAUGGUCUUUACCCAAAAAUCCGACAACGGUUUUAGAUUCCGUGUGUGUGUGUGUGUGUGUGUGUGUGUGUGUGUGUGUUGUCUUUUUAAAGAAAAAUAGCACUCUGCCGUAUUGUACUUUAUAAAAAUACAUAAUAAUGGCAUAACUAAAUAGAAUGGAAAUGAUUCAACAGUUUCGGUGACUUUUUUUUUUUGUUUGUUUGUUUGUUUCGAUUCAAUUGAUAGUGUGCUGCUCCAUCUGCUAUGAGCACCUUGGCCGGAGACAGUCAGUUUCUCAAUAAGCUGCGGUAAUUUGACGUUCUUCGCAGAGGACAAAGAACAUAUGCCUUGCAUCCAGACACGAGAGGAGGAAGUGGCUUCCCAAUCUGGUUUUCAGCUCAAAGUCCGCACCAAAAGCAGCACACCGUUAAGUUAAUCAUGAGUCAAAAGAAUGCGUGGCACUCCAAACUUGCAAUUCCCGUUUGAAGAGUAAA